UCGNCUGUUUAUCAAAAACAUAACCAUUUGAGUUUAUAAAUGGCUAUUUCUGCUCAAUGAUAAAUUAAAUAGCCGCAGUACAAUGACUGUGCAAAGGUAGCAUAAUCAAUUGGCUUAUAAUUUAAGUCUAGAAUGAAUGAAAAAGGGGGGGAUGACUUUCUAUACCAAAAUUUCAGAAGUUAUUUAUUUAGUGCAAAUACUAAAAGAAAAAUAAAAGACGAGAAGACCCUAGAAAUUUACAGUACUGUUUUGUUGGGGCGACAAAGUAACAGGGAAACUUACUUAUUUUAAUGUGCAAUUAUAUUAAUGGAAUAAUGAAAUUACUCUAGGGAUAACAGCAUAAUAUUUUUGAAGUUUGUGACCUCGAUGUGGGACUAGGAUAGAUAAU
rnacentral:rRNA from 1 species